rnacentral:misc_RNA from 1 species
UGUGGGAGCGGGCUUGCCCGCGAUGGCGGCGUGUCAGUCGCUAUCUACUUUUCUGAUACACCGCCAUCGCGGGCAAGCCCGCUCCCACA